ACUAAAGUAGUUAAAUUAAAGAAUAAUAAAUUGUGGAUUUAUAGGUGUUAUUACCUUUAGUA
rnacentral:tRNA from 1 species